GAUGAACGCUGGCGGCGUGCCUAAUACAUGCAAGUCGAGCGAACAGACGAGGAGCUUGCUCCUCUGACGUUAGCGGCGGACGGGUGAGUAACACGUGGAUAACCUACCUAUAAAACUGGGAUAACUUCGGGAAACCGGAGCUAAUACCGGAUAAUAUAUUGAACCGCAUGGUUCAAUAGUGAAAGACGGUUUUGCUGUCACUUAUAGAUGGAUCCACGCCGCAUUAGCUAGUUGGUAAGGUAACGGCUUACCAAGGCGACGAUGCGUAGCCGACAUGAGAGGGUGAUCGACCACACUGGAACUGAGACACGGUCCAGACUCCUACGGGAGGCAGCAGUAGGGAAUCUUCCGCGAUGGGCGAAAGCCUGACGGAGCAACGCCGCGUGAGUGAUGAAGGUCUUCGGAUCGUAAAACUCUGUUAUUAGGGAAGAACAAAUGUGUAAGUAACUAUGCACGUCUUGACGGUACCUAAUCAGAAAGCCACGGCUAACUACGUG
rnacentral:rRNA from 1 species